CUGUCCCUCAUUGUUCCGUGUAUUUAAGCCCUGUGUUUGCCCCUUACGUUUUCCAGUCUUUGUAUCAUUGUAUCCUUGUACCUGGUCUUUGUGUUGGUUCUUGUCAUGUCCUACCCUAAAUCUGUACGCGUCGGCUCUUUGACCCUGGACUGUUACGAUCACGACCCUGGAUUUGCCCAUAAUAAGUCUCGCUUAUCUCAGCGUGUGUGUCCGCCUCCUCGCUCCCCCUUACAGUUCUCUGUUGGAGUAUCACCAUUGGGACAGCCUAGGUGGUGCCAAGCAGAGCCUUCCUGGAAGUCUGCUGUUUUGCCUGUAUUGAUCUUUUGUGGGGUUUAUUAGUUUAUUAUUUUUCUUUCUUUCUUUAUGAUUAUUUUGUUUUCUCUCAUUAAUUAAAGAAAUGUGUAUUUUAUUUUGGUAUUUGUUUGUGAUAUGUUGAAUUAACCCUGCUUUAUGUCAAUUUGGAUUUGAAUGGCAUUUCGGAGGAUGUAUUGAUUUAAUAGGAUUACAGGCUGUGAUUAAUUAUUUUGUGUGUUUUUAUUUUGUUCUAGAGCAACUUGGUGGAAGGGUGUCUCUUCUUGGCUGAUGGUUACCCUCUUUGGAAAUUUCCCUUUUCACUCCUUUUACACUUGGGUUGCUGUGGUUGAAGUCACUCCUUUUUGAGGUGUUACAGCCUUUGUGUGUGGUUUGUGUAGCCUCCAGUGUGGGGACCUAGCCAAACUAUUUGACGCCAGCUCUAGUUACUGAUAAACUCUAACUACUGUAAAAGAAAUUGCAUGGCCAGUAUAUCCUAGGGUUAUUGGUUUUAGGGGUCAAUUUAGGGUGCCUUUAACUCUCCUUGACAUAUUUUUAAACCCCAGUUGUUAUUAAAGUUGAAUUUUAUUGUUCGAUCUGCAUUCGUCCUCCUGCACUCUAAGUAAAUGUUACACUGAACUACAAA